rnacentral:rRNA from 1 species
UACAGAGGGUGCAAGCGUUUAAUCGGAAUUAUUGGGCGUAAAGCGCAUGUAGGUGGUUUGUUAAGUUUGAUGUGAAAGCCCUGGGCUUAACCUGGGAAUGGCAUUGGAUACUGGCAGACUAGAGUCAGACAGAGGGUCGUGGAAUUUCCGGUGUAGCGGUGAAAUGCGUAGAGAUCGGAAAGAAUAUCGAUGGCGAAGGCAGCGACCUGGGUUUAGACUGACACUGAGGUGCGAAAGCGUGGGGAGCAAACAGG